rnacentral:lncRNA from 1 species
AAAACUGAAAAAAUUUUAAUGUAGUGCAAUUCAAUAAUUAAGAAUCAUUCAUUUUACCAUAAUGAAAUCCUCAUAGUAGGAAUAGUAAGAUUUCUGGGGCAUAGGAGUAGAUAGAUAUGUUGGGAGAAAAGAACAGAACAGUCCUAGAAAUGUCUACUCUGGGUUGUCUGUAGCACAGUCAGGGUCAGGGGAUUCUAGGUGGAGUAGGAUGGAACCAAACUUUAUGCUCAUUAAAUCCCAAGGCUUUUUUGAGAAACUGUUCCCUUCCCACACUCCUAAAUUAUCAUUUACAUUUUUAUCAUAGCUCAGAAUCUAUCUAUUGCUAAGGGUUAAACUCCUGGCAUACUCUAAGUCUUAAACAAAAUCCUAACAUUGUUCUUUAAAAUGGACCCAAUGGAAUCUAAAUACCACAACAAUUUUGAACCUGUCAUCAACCACUUGAAAAUGACCACAUGAUCAGAGGAAUUUUUACAUGAUUUCCUUUUGUCCUUGAACUUGAAUUUCCAUUCCACCUUCUCCACAGAAUUCUAACCUAAUGUAGUAUAUUUUUAUGUAUGAAUCAUGCUAUUAUGAUUUUACUGAUCAACUUUUGUCCCUCUCUGCAUCAAACACACCUAACUGAAUUUAAACUGUAAAGCCAUGUACUGUGACCAUGAGUUUUCUAAGUGAUAAAAAUUAUGUCAAUUGAGAUAUUAUUAUAAUUAUUAUUAUGUGAUUGAUCAAUAUAACAAAAUGUUGUAUAGUUGGUGAAUAUAUUUG